UUGAUUGAUUGAUUUUUUAAGACUGCUUUGUCGCUUCCAAGUUUACACACAUGGACACGUAUGCUUUUAUAGACAAUCCAUCUGUCCAGGUUAUAAAAGGCAACAUAGUGUGACAGUUAAGUACACAACUUUAAACCAGAAUGUCAGUGUUUGAAUUCCUCAGCUCAUCCUCUGAUUUCAGCUACAUAUUCCUAAGCAAGUUAUUGACUGUUUCUCUGCUUCAGUUUCAUCAUCUGUAAAAUGGGGAUAAUCAUAUUUUUCUCAUGCUCUUGGAUGGAGUUUAAAUUCAUUUAGUCCGAAUGAAGCACUUAGAACAGAAAGCAUAUCAUAAACACAUGGCAUUUAACUCUGAGCAUUAUUCCAUCCUCAACAUGGCCGUUUAAGGGAACAAGCUAAGAAAUUAAUAGGUAUAUAAUUGGGUGUUCACUGUGUCUCAGGCACGGUACUAAGCACUCUAUGCUUAGAUUACCCAAGUUUAAAUAUAUUUCUGCAAUUAUAGGCUGUGGAAAGUGAAGAAAAUUAGGCAGCUUAAACAAUUUUUUCAUCUACAAAGUGGGCAUAAACUAUAUCUGAGAUCAUAUAAAGUGCUAGGCAAAAUUUACUAUACGGUGAUUAUGGUUGUAAUUGUUGUUAAAUUAUCAUUGUUGUUAUUAUUACUAAUGGCAAUUUAUUGCCUUAAGAGUGAGAAGAGAUGGUGCUCACCCACAGACAAGCGCAGGCCUCCAGGUAGUGAGACGCCCUGUCCUGCUCGGUGGGUCUGCUGGAACAUGUGCUCUUCGCUGGGGCGACCACCGUUAGCCAGCCUCCCGCAACAACGGCAGCAAUCAGAGGACGCAGCCUAUCUCUUAAAACAACGUCUUUAUUUCAAUGGGAGGGAUGGUCUUAACUUUUCCAAACCUUAGAGAGCCUUAAAUUUUUGAUUAGAUAGCCAGAGAAAUUAAGUUUAAGGCCAGUUAGUUCAUUUUAGUAACAGGCAGGGUGGGGAAAGAAAGAAGGCAAGUUAAAAACAAUGCUCUGUAACCUUGUGCAUGUAGAUGACUGACGGCUGCUUUUCCACGGACGAGCGUUUCCUGAGCCCUGUCCCCUCCCACCCUCCGGGUGCUGUGGGACUGUGCACUAUAAUGGGCCACAUUUAAAGAGGAGCUCCUGGUUCUUUUGUAGUGGUUGCUGUUACUUAUUUAUUUAUUCCUUCCAGGAACAAUAUAAGGGUCUCCAAUUAGUCACAGGUGCAAAUAUUAUGCAUGCAAUUAAUUGUCUUCAAAUGGUUAAUUAUGGGCAGAAUUGGCUAAUUCGGGGUGCAAUUAACUAUGUGCCACUUCUUCAGAGAAUGCCCGUAGACAAUUGUGUCUGCAAUUAAUUUACAAGAGCCAUUACAGCAAAAACCUUGUACUAUAAAUUCAAGAAUAGAGUGGGAGAAUUUUUUCGAAGCAGGAUUUCACUCUGGGUUAAUUGCAUUGACUCUUUCCUUUGGCUUUUCUAGGCAGGUUGACUGUAAAUGGGGUUUCUGCGGGUUGCUUCUGUGAUGUGAUAGCCCUACUCGCCAUGAGAACGCAGGCAGGAGCAGAGCGGCUACUGGACACCCAGGAGACGCACGGCCCUGCUGUCAGGCCUGCAGGGCUGCGCCGUGGACGUUGCUGCAGUGAGCGAUGUUCUACAUGCUUUGUGCUUAUUUGUUUUGUCUGUUUGACUUUUUUUUCUGUACCUUUUCUGGCACAACAAUGCAGAAGCAGGAAUCCUCACCUUGCUCACCAAGUUCAAUGUCUUUACUAAACGUUAAACUUUAAAGCCAUCUUGUUAAUACAUUUAUUAACUGUUACCAACAAACAGAUCUUAUAAGCAAUCACAGUAGAGUUUUAAAAUUUAUUAACUUCUUUUUAUAGGCCAACCACUGAGCUAAAUACUGUGAUUACAUUAUCUUGUUUAACUCUUAAAAUGAUUCCCCAUUUUUGCUUUUAAACUCGAAAAAGUUUUAGUGACUCGCAGAUCAAUGGUGGAGCUGAGACAAAGGUGUGUCUGUGCCACUCCAAGCCCUGCAUCUUCACAGCCAUGCCUUGCAGGGGCUUUGGACCUGGAAGGACACUUAGCUACCAUCCCCUCCACCCUGUCACUGGACACACGGGGGUCCCAUGGUGCACACAGCAAACUGAGGACAAUCCAAGCUUGGAAACCCAAAUUUGUGCCCCACCCCAGUCCAACGUUGUUCUAACUACGGGUGCUGCCAAAGGAAAAUUCCGUGGAGUCAGUGCGCCCAUUAGCUCUCCGUCGCAAUGCAGGACGGUGUUCCUGCGCAGUCUGCAGCGUUCCCAGGUCUGCGCGCAGGCGGCUGGCUGGAGAUGACCUCUGGCUGCACAUGCCCCGAGGACCGCACACGGGCCUCCAGCGGGGGGCGCUUACAGUGGCCGUGAUUUCACUGGGCGGAACAAACGUUCCUGAGCAGCGGUUCUUCACGUCUUGUUUCUUAAACACCUGGACAGGGCUGGUAAGCAAAGGCGACAAGCUUUCUCUGCUCCAAUGUUCCCACUUGCGGCCCAGGGCAGCCUACAAGCCCAGUGAUCUGCUGUGGCAGGUGUUGCUCGGCUCCUGGGCAGAGAUUCUGGACCACACGGGGCUUCACCACGUUGUUGGAAGGAGGAAGAAAUGUGUCAGAGACGGCAAAGGCGGAGUAGACCCAUUCGGUGGCUGGGGGCCUGCUCAGGUGUUGGGGUCCUCUGCAGUCGGCUGGAGCACGCGACCUAAGGCCUGGGCUAUGCAGGUCUGCCCGCGUGGGAGGGGGACAGCACAGAAAUGACAAAAGCCCUUCCCUCUCAGCUUCUCUUGGAGUCUAAGCUGCUUUUCAUAAGACAAGUCAGCAAAGGGAAAGAGGAAGAAAAAGGAAUCUACCAAAAUGUAUGCAUCUGCUGUAUGUCAGGCCCUCCACACAUGUUAUUAUCUUAGAGGCUUUCCAACUGCCUUGCAGGAGAGGAGAGGUUUAUUGCCAUUUCGUUCAGGGAUAGUUAAACCAGGCUGCCCACAUCGCACACCAUGCCAGGCAGAGAGAGCUGGGCUGGAGGCUCCAUUGGGCUGCCCAUAGGGAUGGCCAAGGCCAUGUGUGCCCUUGUGUGAUCUGUCGCAUCCCAGAGACUUCCUGCAAGACAGCUUUGAGUGAGUCUGAGUUCUCACAAAUUUGAGGAUGAUCGGUAAGUCUAAGACUUUUUCCUCCUUGAAUGUGGCUUUGUUUUACUCCCAGACAGGUGUGGUGUGGGGAAGAAUCUCAUAUUUAUGUCAGUAUUGCGUGAUCACUUGACAGACCGUCAGGGCUGAUGCUGUCUGUGCGAGAGGCACUGUGAUGCGGCCAGACCACCAAGGACGGUCCUGCUGGGCAGGCUGGGGUCAUCAGAGGCAUGGAGCCCCUUGCAUCUGAUCUUCUACUCACCACUUCAGCACCUGAUUUCUUCUUUCUACCUUGGGUUAUGGCCACACUCUUGAAUGUUUGAUUUCUGAUUCUGAUUUACACCCCUAACAGCAAUGAAGAGUCAGUACUGCGCAUGCCCCUGACUUCCGAAUCUCAGUCAUGCUGUGACAGCUCACCAUCGCCUCCUGUUCUGAGCCUAGAUCUGUCCCCCCAGCCCAUUCGCUCCUUCUCUGCCUAGUCUUGCCACCCACCCCCUGGUGUGACAGAUACCAUAUCUGUCUUUAUCAAUGUGUGAUCCACAGUGUGCAUCCAUAGUGUAAUUAACACUGGUCAUCCCUCGCCGUGGAAGGUAGAAAAGGCAUCAGAGGCUAAGAAAUUGGGUUUUAAAAAGAAACAAGAGAAAAAAAAAAAAGGUUUCUGAAAGAAAAGACUUGUCAAGGCAAUUUCUUACAAGAGCAAACCCUUCAUCAGAAAUCAAGUUAGAUCUCAUUUUGAAGGAGUGGAUAGAUGUCUCCCCGUAUUUCUUAUUGUCAUAUCAUAUAUGACACAUAUAGAUGAGAGUGAUUGUUUUCAAUCCCACUUAUAUUAGAAAGGAACUAACAAAAUGAGUAAAAUCAAAUGUAAUUAGUUUUACCUAAAUUGCAGGUUUUCAGAGCAAUUAAUAAAACUGAAAGUUGAAAGCUGCUUGUUAAGCAAAUCAAAGAUCAAGGAAUGUAUUUCCUCUAUUGAAUGUCACUCCUGUGUAAACCAACCUACACAAAUCAUUUUCAUGUUUGAAAUAUAGCGCAUGUGUAAUUGGAAUAUUCAGCAGUGGCAGUAACUUGGGCGAUUCCCGCAUUGCCCAGACAGGACUCAGGUGUGGGGGUCAGGCGGACCCCGUCAGAGUCUGAGCUCAGCCCUGCACUGGCCCCGGAGUGCGACUGCUUACAUCACCAUAGAAGCUCCCCCUCCCCUCCAUAAAGCUGGCAUUAACGUGCCCGGCAGGGUAGUGGGAGUUCUCGGGACGGCACGUGCAAAGUUCUCAGCAAGUUGCCUUUCACUUAGCUUCAGUCCAAUAUGUGCUGUUUACUGCUAUUAUUUUAUUCAGUGCUGUGACUUAAAUAUAACUUCCAGAUUAUUUGUGAGCUAAUUAUUUGCUGAGGCCAGCCAGUCAUUCUGCCUUUUUCAGAAUGUGUGUGUCCUUCCGUGGGACCAUGCAUGUGUGUCUGUCCCCACCCAGGGCUCUGGGCGGUGGUGGGGGGCAGGAUAUUGUGGUCCCUUCCCUUGUUUGAGCCCCUAUUUCAUCCGUGAGAUGGAUGGUCCCUUGGCUUUUCCUAAGGAGAAUAAGAAGCUGUUGAGAAGGGUCCUAUGACAAAGGCCCACUGUUCCCAAGAAGUAUACCCCUGGAAGUCCUUCCAAAAGCUUUCUGGAAAUAUUUUCCCUGCACAUAUCCACCUGGUUUGGAACCCAGGAUGACUUUCCAGGGAGGUCUCUUUAUGGGACCCAAGCCCAGAGGACAGUAGGGCUUCUGAGAUGGGAUGCACAUCUCUGAGCACAGGUGCAUCAGUCUCCCCUGACAGUGGCUCAUGUUGGUGUGACCUGAGUUGAUCUCACAGCACCCUUGUAAGGACAAGGUGCAUGUGAUACUGUGAUUUAUAAUAAGAAAUACAUAUUUAUCCUCCAUCCCCCUUUGUGGCACAGAGUUCCUAAAACCCUUGGAACUUCCGAAGUGAGGAGACUGAUAAAGCUGUCUUACGUUGUUGAUGGGGUGCUUUGGGAAAGUACCUAAGGAUGGGGGCUGGGUCCCAGGAGAACAGCCAUGUGAUCAGAGAGUUGAGCCUUUCACUCUCACCCCUGACCUGUGGGGAAGGGGAGAGGCUGCAGGUUGAAUGGACGGUCAGUAGCCAAGGGGUUAAUUAAUUAUGCCCAAAUAAUGAAGUCUUCCUUAGAACCCCAAAAUACAGUGUAUGGAGAGCUUCCAGAAUGAUGAAACAUGGAAAUCUGGGAAGAAUGGCAGGCUUAGAGAACAUAGAAGCUGUUGCCCUGUGCAUCUCUUCCACCCAGCUGUUCCUGAGUUAUAUCCUUUUAUAAUAAACCAGCAAUCUGAGGAAAAUGUUUCUCUGAGUCUGUGUAGCAAAUUAAUGAAACCCACAUUGGAAACUCUGAUCUAUAGCCAGUUGGUCAGAAGCGCAGGAGACCACCUGAGCUUGCAGCUAGAGUCUGGAGUGGGGAGGGGAGGGCAGCACUGUGGGGCCAGGCCUUACCUGCAGGGUCUGGUGCUCUCUCCAGGGAGAUAGUGUCAGAACCGAGUUGAAUUUUAGGACACCCAGGUGGUGUCUGAGGAUUGCUCUGUGGUGUGGAAAAAGCCUCAACGCAUUGGGAUUGGCGGUCAGAAUUAUGAACACGUAUCAUCGUGCCCCUUAGCAGAUGGAGACACGGACACCCAGAGCCUCCAAAAUUCCACAGGUCCACUGGUCCAGGUAUCAACUGAUGUGUGGUCCUCUGUUGAGAAACUGAGGUCUCCAGGAAGAAGGAACAAAGAGAUGCUGUAACUGACUUUCCAACAAGAAUAAUGAAAACACAACUCCAGAAAGGAGCAAAGAUUUUCCCUGGAAUCUCCCCAAAGGAGGCAAAUGGUGGAGAGAGAAUGGAGAAUGGAGAAUGUAUCACAUCUGUGCGAAGAAGCCCACGUUGCUCUGCUCUGCAAAUUCAAUGUGGAGAAGCUCCUAUAACCUGGGUGCACAGCCACAUCCGUUUGUCCCGUCCACCAUGCGGUGCUUUCCUUCAUAUUCUCUGCUGCUUUGCCGAAAUACAAGAAUGCACCUCCCCCUCACUUGUUUUAACCAAGACAGUGAUAUUGUUCAAAAAAAUAUAAAUCUUCAAAAGAUUUUGGUCGCUGUGCUCACGGGUCUAUUUCAAAUAAAACAUUUACAUGAAUGUAUCUUUUUAUGUUAAUAUGCACAUCGGAUUAGAACUAAUUUUCAACCAUUCUUUGGCAGCAUGUCCACAAUAAAUGAGACUUGGUUUAAAAGACGUAAACUCUACCCCCUCUCCAGGGGUGCUGAUUCUUCAUUUCUUCAGCCCACCAUUUGUCCUCACAGCAUGCACCUGAGAGUUCCAGGUCUGACCACCUGUUUCUGAAAUCAGAGGAACUCUGACUGGGCUGCACUGUCCCUCAUCCGCCAUGAAUGGAUCUGUGCUGAGCACCUACUGUGUGACAUGGUGGCACUAGGACAGGUCCGGAGCUGGCAGAGCAGCCAUGCCGCUGAGAAGCCUUGAGAAGUUACCACCUGCCCCCGGAACAGUGGCAUCUAUGACUCUUGAUGCAGCGAUUUCUCCAAUGCUAAGGAAGAUUCAAAACUGUAUCUCCAGCCAGCGGGUUGAGGGGAUGUCGCCUGGUGCUCAAGAUCUCCAGAGUCAGCAAAAUAAGCACAUUUAUUGUGACUUGCUUAUAUUCACUCAAAUGAAAAAGAAAUCAUAGACCCUGAACAUAGAUACGUGUAGAAACAGUUGAAAAGAAAAUCAUUGACCCCUGACCCAAGCAGUGCAAAUUUUUAUGCCAAAACCAAACAUUUUUUAUCCCACCUCGCCUCUCUGUCCCUCUUUCUACAUCUAUACCUAGAUGCACACACACCACACACACCGCACACACCACACACACACAUUUCCAGUAGCUGUGGAAAUAUGUCAGGAUAAGUAUACAGUCUUUUUACUUGAUUUACAACAUUUAUACAAACCAAUACAAACCAACUGAUGUGAUUCAACUCUAGGACUAGAAUAUGAGACCCUCUGGAAAUGCAAAAGUAAGGGUGGCUAGAAAUCCCACAAAUACUCUGUGUCACACACUAGCUCUGCGGGGUUGCACUCCACGCCCUCUCCUGCCCCACCCACCACCCCUGCUUUGUAUUAUCUUUUAGCUUUAGUAUUUUCACAUAUUUUACACCAGUGGACCUUGAUGAAUUUAAGCUUGGGCAUUGUACAGAUUCCAGAUUUCAAAUGAAUGACUCUUUCAUUUAGUUAAUAGCUGCAGCAGAGCCAUAAAAUGGUAAUAGUUUAUGACUUUCAGGAUAUAACCCUCAACCACUGACAAUAUAAAUUAUAUUACACUGCACUUUACGGCCGUAUGAAGCACACGCAGGACUCACUGUAGGUGUGAAGUCUGGGAAGUGGAGGGUGUAGGUGGGAUGAAUUGUUUAUUUUUUUACUCGUCUGCUGAAAACACCUUCGUCCUGUGUCCCAGCAACCUGUCUGUCUGAUUGCAGGCAUCCACACCACCGUGCUGAGUGAAACUGUGACCACAAAAGAAAACUAUCAAUAAAGAAUCAAGGUGGACAUUUUCAUGCCUUCAUCAACUUGCACUGUUACUUCAACACAAAUGGAAAAACAUGCCUUUCCUUCUGCAGGCAUCGAUAGCUAUUCUCAAGUUGGCAAAUGCAUUAGGAAUGUGAGAUGUGGAAGAGGGUGUGGGACUGCACGGUGGCCUGACUACCCAUAUUUUUGUUUUGUUCUAUUAUCUAUUAAGAGGAGUCCGGAUAACGUUAUCCUUCAAUUGCACAUGUGGCUUCUAAGUCCUGUUUCUUGUCUAGGCUUAAGGUUAGGCCCCUGACCCACGA